UACGAAGGGGGCUAGCGUUGCUCGGAAUCACUGGGCGUAAAGCGCACGUAGGCGGAUUGCUAAGUCAGGGGUGAAAUCCUGGAGCUCAACUCCAGAACUGCCUUUGAUACUGGCGAUCUCGAGUACGGGAGAGGUGAGUGGAACUGCGAGUGUAGAGGUGAAAUUCGUAGAUAUUCGCAAGAACACCAGUGGCGAAGGCGGCCCACUGGCCCGAUACUGACGCUGAGGUGCGAAAGCGUGGGGAGCAAACAGG
rnacentral:rRNA from 1 species